rnacentral:rRNA from 1 species
ACGGGUGAGUAAUGCCUAGGAAUCUGCCUGGUAGUGGGGGACAACGUUUCGAAAGGAACGCUAAUACCGCAUACGUCCUACGGGAGAAAGCAGGGGACCUUCGGGCCUUGCGCUAUCAGAUGAGCCUAGGUCGGAUUAGCUAGUUGGUGAGGUAAUGGCUCACCAAGGCGACGAUCCGUAACUGGUCUGAGAGGAUGAUCAGUCACACUGGAACUGAGACACGGUCCAGACUCCUACGGGAGGCAGCAGUGGGGAAUAUUGGACAAUGGGCGAAAGCCUGAUCCAGCCAUGCCGCGUGUGUGAAGAAGGUCUUCGGAUUGUAAAGCACUUUAAGUUGGGAGGAAGGGUUGUAGAUUAAUACUCUGCAAUUUUGACGUUACCGACAGAAUAAGCACCGGCUAACUCUGUGCCAGCAGCCGCGGUAAUACAGAGGGUGCAAGCGUUAAUCGGAAUUACUGGGCGUAAAGCGCGCGUAGGUGGUUCGUUAAGUUGGAUGUGAAAUCCCCGGGCUCAACCUGGGAACUGCAUCCAAAACUGGCGAGCUAGAGUAUGGUAGAGGGUGGUGGAAUUUCCCUGUGUAGCGGUG